rnacentral:rRNA from 1 species
UACGUAGGGAGCAAGCGUUGUCCGGAAUCAUUGGGCGUAAAGCGCGCGUAGGCGGCCCCGUAAGUCCGCUGUGAAAGUCAAAGGCUCAACCUUUGAAAGCCGGUGGAUACUGUGGGGCUAGAGUCCGGAAGAGGCGAGUGGAAUUCCUGGUGUAGCGGUGGAAUGCGCAGAUAUCAAGGAGGAACACCAAUAGCGAAGGCAGCUCGCUGGGACGGUACUGACGCUAAGGCGCGAAAGCGUGGGGAGCGAACAGG